rnacentral:rRNA from 1 species
CAUGGCUCAGGACGAACGCUGGCGGCGUGCUUAACACAUGCAAGUCGAACGAUGAAGCCCAGCUUGCUGGGUGGAUUAGUGGCGAACGGGUGAGUAACACGUGAGUAACCUGCCCUUGACUUCGGGAUAACUCCGGGAAACCGGGGCUAAUACCGGAUAUGAGCUACCUUCGCAUGGGGGUGGUUGGAAAGUUUUUCGGUCAGGGAUGGGCUCGCGGCCUAUCAGCUUGUUGGUGGGGUGAUGGCCUACCAAGGCGACGACGGGUAGCCGGCCUGAGAGGGCGACCGGCCACACUGGGACUGAGACACGGCCCAGACUCCUACGGGAGGCAGCAGUGGGGAAUAUUGCACAAUGGGCGCAAGCCUGAUGCAGCGACGCCGCGUGAGGGAUGAAGGCCUUCGGGUUGUAAACCUCUUUCAGCAGGGAAGAAGCGCAAGUGACGGUACCUGCAGAAGAAGCGCCGGCUAACUACGUGCCAGCAGCCGCGGUAAUACGUAGGGCGCAAGCGUUGUCCGGAAUUAUUGGGCGUAAAGAGCUCGUAGGCGGUCUGUCGCGUCUGGUGUGAAAACUCGAGGCUCAACCUCGAGCUUGCAUCGGGUACGGGCAGACUAGAGUGCGGUAGGGGAGACUGGAAUUCCUGGUGUAGCGGUGGAAUGCGCAGAUAUCAGGAGGAACACCGAUGGCGAAGGCAGGUCUCUGGGCCGCAACUGACGCUGAGGAGCGAAAGCAUGGGGAGCGAACAGGAUUAGAUACCCUGGUAGUCCAUGCCGUAAACGUUGGGCACUAGGUGUGGGGCUCAUUCCACGAGUUCCGUGCCGCAGCAAACGCAUUAA